GACGUACAAAAAAUUGCAAUGUAUAAGGUUCAAAGCACAAGAAUAUUAUAUAAUAUUGAAUACAGACUUUUAAAAAUGUUUAAUACAGCAGCAUAAUGGUAGUACUGCGUGAUGCUCGAUGGAAAGUUUCCCAUAGGUUAUAAUGACAAAGUGCUAGGAUAUGACCGCAAUGAAUUCCAACCAAUGAUAAAUUUAGUGAGGAAUUUAAUACAAACACAGAUUCAUAUGAAUAAUCGAUUGUUUUAAAAUGGUCUAGAAUGUAAAUCCGUAGGCUUAGAUUGUUCUUGUCCUUUAUAAAAAUGCUAGUUAAUUCAAAUUCUGAAGUCUUAAUGUAAUUGGGUAGAUACAUAAAAGUUCAUUUUAUUUUAUACAUUAGUAAAACUAAAAGUAAACAAAAAUCAGGUACCAUAAUGCUUUGAUAAAUGUUUAAUUGCGAUUUUGUUGCUGCUUUGUGUUUUCUUUCUGUUUCAGCAACAAUCUAUAAUGAUGAUCAAGGCAUAAAUGCGCUACAAUUAACGACUUAUUAAAGAUCAUAGUUUAAUAGAGAGAUUAAUGACUUACAAGAAACAAAUGAGCUAUUGAAAUGAUCAGAAGAUAUUAUACCAAAAUAAGAAUGCUGCUAUGACGUUGUGGAUAUGAUAACGAUUACAAUAAGAGAAUGAGACUAUUAGUUUGCGACCAUUAGGUUGGAGAGAGGGCCACCAUGGCGCAAAUGAUAUAGUUAAAUAAUGAUGACACGUAAUAAUAAGCGAGUAUAUUUCUAAAGUUAAACACUGCAUCUACUUAUUUAAAGAACUCAGAUACUGCUUAAUUGUUUUUAUUUUGUUCCUUUCAGGCAUCAUUGACAUAAUGAUCAUGGAUAUUUUACUGAUGUCAUGACGUUGUGGAUAUGAUGACGAUCACAAUAAGAGAUUGAGACUAUUAGUUUACGACCAUUAGGUUGGUGAGAGGGCCAACAUGGCGUAAAUGAUAUAGUUAAUUAAGAUGAUGAUUAAAAUGAUGAUUAAGAUGUUGAUAAGAGAAUGAGACUAUUAAGUUUACGACCAUAGGCUAGUGAGCGGGCUGCCAUGGCGUAAAUGAUAUAGUUAAACAAUGAUGUCAAGUAAUAAUAAGUGAGUAUAUUUCUAAAGUUGCACUACAUUUACUUAUUUAAAGAACUCAGAUACUGCUUAAUUGUUUUUAUUUUGUUCCUUUCAGGCAUCAUUGACAUAAUGAGCAUGGAUAUUUUACUGAUGUCAUGACGUUGUGGAUAUGAUGACGAUCACAAUAAGAGAUUGAGACUAUUAGUUUGCGGCCAUUAGGUUGGUGAGAGGGCCAACAUGGCGCAAAUGAUAUAGUUAAUUAAGAUGAUGAUUAAAAUGAUGAUUAAGAUGUUGAUAAGAGAAUGAGACUAUUAAGUUUACGACCAUAGGCUAGUGAGCGGGCUGCCAUGGCGUAAAUGAUAUAGUUAAACAAUGAUGUCAAGUAAUAAUAAGUGAGUAUAUUUCUAAAGUUGCACUACAUUUACUUAUUUAAAGAACUCAGAUACUGCUUAAUUGUUUUUAUUUUGUUCCUUUCAGGCAUCAUUGACAUAAUGAGCAUGGAUAUUUUACUGAUGUCAUGACGUUGUGGAUAUGAUGACGAUCACAAUAAGAGAUUGAGACUAUUAGUUUGCGGCCAUUAGGUUGGUGAGAGGGCCAACAUGGCGCAAAUGAUAUAGUUAAUUAAGAUGAUGAUUAAAAUGAUGAUUAAGAUGUUGAUAAGAGAAUGAGACUAUUAAGUUUACGACCAUAGGCUAGUGAGCGGGCUGCCAUGGCGUAAAUGAUAUAGUUAAACAAUGAUGUCAAUUAAUAAUAAGUGAGUAUAUUUCUAAAGUUGCACUACAUUUACUUAUUUAAAAAACUCAGAUACUGCUUAAUUGUUUUUAUUUUGUUCCUUUCAGGCAUCAUUGACAUAAUGAUCAUGGAUAUUUUACUGAUGUCAUGACGUUGUGGAUAUGAUGACGAUCACAAUAAGAGAUUGAGACUAUUAGUUUACGACCAUUAGGCUAGUGAGCGGGCUGCCAUGGCGUAAAUGAUAUA